rnacentral:rRNA from 1 species
GGAGUUUGGUCCGUGUCUCAGUACCAAUGUGGGGGACCUUCCUCUCAGAACCCCUACUGAUCGUAGGCUUGGUGGGCCGUUACCCCGCCAACAACCUAAUCAGACGCAUCCCCAUCCCUUAGCGAUAAAUCUUUGUUCCAGCUCAGAUGUCCUCAUCGGAAAACAUAGGGUAUUAAUCCGACUUUCGCCGGGCUAUGCCCUACUAAGGGGAAGGUUGGAUACGCGUUACUCACCCGUGCGCCGGUCGCCGACAAGGAAAGCAAGCUUUCCUCUCGCUGCCCCUCGACUUGCAUGUGUUAAGCCUGUAGCUAGCGUUCAUC